CAACGAUUAAUUGACAAGUGUCAUAAACAACCAAGCGCCAGUUAUUGUAGAAGGAACAAUCAAGACUAUAAACUGGGCGAGUCAACAUGCUGGCUUGUCUGCGACAAACAAACAUUUUGCAAGUGCUUUUCUCCUAACGUUAAAAAUAAAAACCUUGUAUACUUAGUCGAGUAUCUGAAUAAACAACUCUGUCUUCUGAAAGUUCAAAGAAGCUCAAAAGGUUUUGAUGAAACAAUGGUAAACCAUCAAUCAUGUCUCCUUGGAGAUAAAAGGUCUAAUUUGGAUGCUGGAGAAAAUUUGCCAUUGGUCGGAAGGGACAUAUAAUCGUGGUCAGGGUAUAAGCAGGGAGAGGCCACGUGCUAACUCUAUAAAUUUACAAAAAAUUUGCCUAUGUCAAAUACGUUCAAUAAGAAGGAAUGUUGUACUGCACCAAGUUGAUAAAGUUGACUUUAGGUUGAUCAGGACUAAA